rnacentral:rRNA from 1 species
GUAGUCUCGCACAGAUGCAUAUCAAUAAGCGGAGGAAAAGAAACUAACAAGGAUUCCCCUAGUAACGGCGAGUGAAGCGGGAAGAGCUCAAAUUUGAAAUCUUAAAGGGUUUCCCUUUACGAAUUGUAGUUUAAAGAAGUGUUUUCUGUUGAGGUUUUGGUAAAAGUUCUUUGGAAUAGGACAUCAUAGAGGGUGAGAAGUCCCGUAUUUGACCUUUACUUUCAACUUUGUGAUACACUUUCAAAGAGUCGGAUUGUUUGGGAAUGCAGUCCAAAAUGGGUGGUAAAUUUCAUCUAAAGCUAAAUAUUGGCGAGAGACCGAUAGCGAACAAGUACCGUGAGGGAAAGACUGAAAAGAACUUUGAAAAGAGAGUUAAACAGUACGUGAAAUUGUCAAAAGGGAAGCGUUUGACACCAGUGUUGUUUUUCUGAAAAUCAAUUAAAGAACUGUUUAUGCUAAGCUGUUUAGACUUUAUCAGCUAAUCUGCUUAGUUUUGAGCUUUUCUUUAAUGCACUUUUCAGUUAACAAGUCAACAUCAAUUUCUUUUGCUGUAAAAAAGCUUGAGGAAGGUGGCUUGAGAUUCGUCUUAAGUGUUUAUAGCCUCUUGCCUAUGCAGUCGGAGAGAUUGAGGUCUGCAGCGUAGAUCCUUCGGGGCUAAAUGCAUUUGUGCUAAGUUAUAGCAUUUCAUAGACAACUUGUUGACUAUGAUUUGUCUUGUAGCUUACUCGCUUAUGUUAUUUUACCUACGCUUAGGAUGUUGACAGCAGUAUAGACUGU